UCGUCCAUCCCCACGACUCACCAAGCUCAGCACCCGCACCUCUGUGUUCUCUGUCUGGAACCCUGUGCCCCUGAUCUUGCCACGGCUGGCACCGGAUCCCGGCUUCAAUGCCACCUCCUCAACAAGGCUUUAACCUCCUCUCAAAAUAAGUAGCCCCUUACAUGUCUCACUUCCAAUCCUCUUAAACUAAACUCUUUCCUCCUAAGCAUUUCAAACUACCUGAGAUUGUUUGACUUCCUUGUUCACUUCUUGAUGACCACCCCUCCCCACUUGAAUAUCCUCUCCAGAGGCCAGGGUCCUUAGCUGUCUGGCCCACACGGCGCCCUCCACCCAGCAGGUGCUCAGUGUAGACUAGGAGAACAAAUGGAUGAAAGCAGAGGAAGGGUCUUCAUGCCAGAGAAGGCCACGAGGGCAGGGAAGAUCUCUGCCAGGGUGUCCCUUCCUGCUGCCCGUGGUCGACAAAACCCUCCCCGCUGCCUGACCGUAGGAUUGCUUCUUUUUGCUAGCAAACGUGACCUCGGGCCUGCUGGCCUGGGCGGUGGUUUCUACCACAGACUCUCUGUUCUUGCUGCCCUACAGGCUGACAGCUGAGCGCUCCCAAAUGCCAGGCCUGUGCCAGUAUCCUGCUCACUACUCUCAAAGGAAGAGGCAUGGUUACCAUCUCCACUUAACAGAUGGGGACACUGAGGCUUGGAAAAGAAUGGGGUGCUCACAACCUGUACUCUGGGGAGCGGCUUCAGCUGUUGGAAACUUCCCAUCCUGCCUGGGCCCUUGGAGCCAAGCAGAAAAAGUCACCUCCCUUUCCUCCUGAUAGCUCCUUAGAAAUGGGAGGCUCUGAGGACAGACAGAUCUGGUUUAAGUCCUGGCCUUGCCUUGGAUGUCCGCUCCAGGAGGUCCUGGGCCUAGAAGUGGGCCCUGCACAGCAGACGCUACAAGCUCAUUUGGUGAACGAAUGAAUGACAUCAUCUCCUUUAAAAAGCUAGUCCUGGGGCACCUGGGUGGCUCAGUUGGUUGGGCGUCCGACUUCAGCUCAGGUCAUGAUCUCACAGCUCGUGAGUUCGAGCCCCACGUCGGGCU